rnacentral:rRNA from 1 species
UACGGAGGGGACUAGCGUUGUUCGGAAUUACUGGGCGUAAAGCGCACGUAGGCGGAUUUGUAAGUCAGGGGUGAAAUCCCGGGGCUCAACCCCGGAACUGCCUUUGAUACUGCAAAUCUCGAGUCCGGAAGAGGUGAGUGGAAUUCCUAGUGUAGAGGUGAAAUUCGUAGAUAUUAGGAAGAACACCAGUGGCGAAGGCGGCUCACUGGUCCGGUACUGACGCUGAGGAGCGAAAGCGUGGGGAGCGAACAGG